GUGGGGUGAGGGUGUUCUAGGGCGGGGGGCGGGGCUGCCGCGCUGUGGGGUCCGAGGGGAUGUUGAAUGAAUAGAUGAACUGCUUGCUGGGCACACUGCCACAGCCAAAGAACAGUGUGAUGGGGAGAAAGAAGCCGGGGACCCGGCCUCCUGCACAGCCUCGCGUGGCCUGACGUCCAGGGGAGCCCUCAGGAAGACCUGGGCGGAGACCAGCCUCAAGAUGAGCACAUUUUAAAUGGGAAAGCCAUAAAGACGAGGUUUUUUGGCAACAUCACAAGAAAAUAACACGUAAUAAUUAAGUGCAGCCGGCCCUCGCUCCGUAUCUCGGGUUCCGCCUCUGCAGAUUCAACCAACCGCGGGUCAAGAAUCUUUGCGAAAUAAAAAAGGAAAGUGUUGCCGUUGCUGACCUAUGCUACGUGUAACUUAGUUAAAAUAGA